rnacentral:rRNA from 1 species
GACGAACGCUGGCGGCGUGCCUAAUACAUGCAAGUUGAGCGCUGAAGGUUGGUACUUGUACCAACUGGAUGAGCAGCGAACGGGUGAGUAACGCGUGGGGAAUCUGCCUUUGAGCGGGGGACAACAUUUGGAAACGAAUGCUAAUACCGCAUAAAAACUUUAAACACAAGUUUUAAGUUUGAAAGAUGCAAUUGCAUCACUCAAAGAUGAUCCCGCGUUGUAUUAGCUAGUUGGUGAGGUAAAGGCUCACCAAGGCGAUGAUACAUAGCCGACCUGAGAGGGGGAUCGGCCAAAUGGGGAAGGAGACACGGCCCAAACUACUACGGGAGGCAGCAGUAGGGAAUCUUCGGCAAUGGAAGAAAGUCUGACCGAGAAACGCCGCGUGAGUGAAGAAGGUUUUCGGAUCGGAAAACUCGGUUGGUAGAGAAGAACGUUGGUGAGAGUGGAAAGCUCAUCAAGUGACGGUAACUACCCAGAAAGGGACGGCUAACUACGUG